AGUAGUAAUAAUAAUGCAUUAAUUUGGAUAGAGGAAUUGGUGGUGGAGUUCAAGCAGUACCCUGAAGCAUCAUACAUGAGAAAAAUAGUCCUAAACAGAAGGAAUUCAGGGGAACAAGGAAGCAGAGCCACUGGUUUCUUUGGUGGAAUUAGAAAGCUCCACAAUCACCAUGAUAUUCAUUUAUGGAACAACCGCCUCACGGCACAAGCCCUCCAAUGUUUCAACCUUGGAUUCAAGAAGCCCACCAACAAUCUCACUUAUAUAGACUAAUUGACAGAAUUACUCAAUUUAAUGAUGAUGGAGCCUAGACUACACUAUGCACCUCCAGUAGAAGCACAGUAUCCUGUCCAUGGCCAUCAGUAGAGAUUUUGAAAUGAAUUUCAGGU